GUAACUCAACCUAUCAAUGCUUUAGCCUUCGUUUUCGAUGGAGUUAACUACGGAGCUUCCGAUUUUUCAUAUUCAGCCUACUCCAUGGUUGCGGUUGCAGUCGUGAGCAUCUCCUGCUUGUUCAUACUAUCCUCCAGCCAUGGCUAUCUCGGCAUCUGGAUUGCUUUGACCAUCUUCAUGUGUUUACGUGUGUUUGUUGGUCUUUUGAGGAUAGGAACUGGUAUGGGACCUUGGUCUUUUCUCCGGAGCUGAGUGCU